UACGAGGGGUGCAAGCGUUAUUCGGAAUUAUUGGGCGUAAAGGGUGCGUAGACGGCUUAUUAAGUCUGUUGUUAAAUUUUUCGGCUUAACCGAGAAGCUGCGAUAGAUACUGAUUUGCUAGAGGGUGAGAGAGAGAAGUGGAAUUCCCGGAGUAGCGGUAAAAUGCGUGGAUCUCGGGAGGAACACCGAUGGCGAAGGCAACUUCUUGGUUCACUUCUGACGUUGAGGCACGAAAGCGUGGGGAGCAAACAGG
rnacentral:rRNA from 1 species